UGCUUUGAGAGAUCUGGCUGUAGCACCAGUCACCUCAUUGGUUUCUACGGAGCAGUGACUGAUGGAACUGGUUGGGAAGGUUUAUGGAUCCUCUCUCAUACUGCACUGGGGUGCCUCCAAGCUGAGCUCUGGGAGAAAGGAAAAGCCUUUAUAAUGAAGGUGGUAAAUGUCCGAGAGUGGCUACUUCUCCUGCUAGAAUGUUAACUCACUGAAAACCUCUAGCUCAACUUCUUUUUCUGAAGAAUGGGAUUCAGAG
rnacentral:sRNA from 1 species